rnacentral:rRNA from 3 species
UGGGGGAUAUUGCACAAUGGGGGAAACCCUGAUGCAGCGAUGCCGCGUGGAGGAAGAAGGUUUUCGGAUUGUAAACUCCUGUCUUUGGGGACGAUAAUGACGGUACCCAAGGAGGAAGCUCCGGCUAACUACGUGCCAGCAGCCGCGGUAAUACGUAGGGAGCAAGCGUUGUCCGGAAUUACUGGGUGUAAAGGGAGCGUAGGCGGGAUGGCAAGUCAGGUGUGAAAACUAUGGGCUCAACUCAUAGAUUGCACUUGAAACUGUUGUUCUUGAGUGAAGUAGAGGUAAGCGGAAUUCCUGGUGUAGCGGUGAAAUGCGUAGAUAUCAGGAGGAACACCGGUGGCGAAGGCGGCUUACUGGGCUUUUACUGACGCUGAGGCUCGAAAGCGUGGGGAGCAAACAGG